UACGGGGGGGGCAAGCGUUGUUCGGAAUUACUGGGCGUAAAGGGCUCGUAGGCGGCCAACUAAGUCAGACGUGAAAUCCCUCGGCUUAACCGGGGAACUGCGUCUGAUACUGGAUGGCUAGAGAUUGGGAGAGGGAUGCGGAAUUCCAGGUGUAGCGGUGAAAUGCGUAGAUAUCAGGAGGAACACCUGUGGUGUAGACAGCUUACUGGACCACUUCUGACGCUGAGACACGAAAGCGUGGGUAGCAAACAGG
rnacentral:rRNA from 1 species